rnacentral:lncRNA from 1 species
GUAAGGCCCAUUGGUUGGCUUAAGGGUAGUGUGUUCUAUCUGCAAAAGGCGACCUCCCUGAUUAGAUCAUCACAAGUGAUGGGGGAAGGUGGGAAGACUCCAAGAAAAAAAGUAGGUGGUACAGACUGGACAUAAUUGUUAAGAGGAAGAAAGAAGAGAAGGAAUAGAAUCAAACCAGAGAGAAUAAAGACUUGCUGGCAGAGGCUAUGAGGGUCUGCUCAAUGCUCAUGUCAGUCAUUCUACAGUAGCUUCAGCUGCCUCAAACUUGCAAGUGACAGUCUGUAAAACAGCACCAUUCAAACCCA